rfam:Stegodyphus mimosarum contig48206, whole genome shotgun sequence.
GCCUUCGUGGUGCAGCGGUCAGCACGCUCGACGCGUAAUCGAUAGGUCCAUGGUUCGAGUCCCGGGGAGGGCA